rnacentral:lncRNA from 1 species
GAUGUAGAACAAGUUAUUAUUUGCAUCUGGAGAAAGAAUUGGUUAAACACUGAAUGUUCAUGUUUGAUAUUGUCUGAAAAGUUACUCAUGAUGUUCCUGUUUGGAAGCUGGGGUAGUCAGGGAUGACACACUCCGGCUUCCCUAUCAGGUUUCCUGUGGUUCAGAUCCAGCCUGCACUCAACAAGAGGGGAUCACAUAAGAUGUGAAUAUCAGGAGACAGGAAUCAAUUGUGGCCAUCGUAGAAGUCUGCCUCCCUACCACAGGUAG